rnacentral:tRNA from 1 species
GUUGAAGUUGCUUAAGUGAAAGAGAUUUUAAUUAUUAAUUAAGAGGUUAGGGGUUCAAAUCCCAUUUUAAACA